CUCAGACAGCCAGGAUGUUGGCUUAGAAGCAGCCAUCAUUUAAAGAAAGCGUAAUAGCUCACUGGUCGAGUCGGCCUGCGCGGAAGAUGUAACGGGGCUAAACUAUGCACCGAAGCUGCGGCAGCGAUAUGUAAAUAUUGUUGGGUAGGGGAGCGUUCUGUAAGCCUGUGAAGGUGUACUGCGAGGUAUGCUGGAGGUAUCAGAAGUGCGAAUGCUGACAUAAGUAACGAUAAUGCGGGUGAAAAACCCGCACGCCGGAAGACCAA
rnacentral:rRNA from 1 species